rnacentral:tRNA from 1 species
UUUUAUAUAGUAUAUUACAAUACAUUUCCUUUUCGAGGAAAAAAAGAUUCACGGAAUUUAUAAAUC